UCAGCAAUGGGUAUUCUUAAUGCAAUAAUACUUGAUCAGAUGUGAUAUUAUUGCUUGAGAAUACACGUUGCUUU
ncrna:Xenoturbella bocki microRNA xbo-mir-137 precursor